rnacentral:rRNA from 1 species
GAUGAACGCUGGCGGCGUGCCUAAUACAUGCCAGUCGAGCGAACGGACGAGAAGCUUGCUUCUCUGAUGUUAGCGGCGGACGGGUGAGUAACACGUGGAUAACCUACCUAUAAGACUGGGAUAACUUCGGGAAACCGGAGCUAAUACCGGAUAAUAUUUUGAACCGCAUGGUUCAAAAGUGAAAGACGGCCUUGCUGUCACUUAUAGAUGGAUCCGCGCUACAUUAGCUAGUUGGUAAGGUAACGGCUUACCAAGGCAACGAUGCAUAGCCGACCUGAGAGGGUGAUCGGCCACACUGGAACCGAGACACGGUCCAGACUCCUACGGGAGGCAGCAGUAGGGAAUCUUCCGCAAUGGGCGAAAGCCUGACGGAGCAACGCCGCGUGAGUGAUGAAGGUCUUCGGAUCGUAAAACUCUGUUAUUAGGGAAGAACAUAUGUGUAAGUAACUGUGCACAUCUUGACGGUACCUAAUCAGAAAGCCACGGCUAACUACGUG